GAUGAACGCUGGCGGCGUGCUUAACACAUGCAAGUCGAACGGAAAGGCCCAAGCUUGCUUGGGUACUCGAGUGGCGAACGGGUGAGUAACACGUGGGUGAUCUGCCCUGCACUUCGGGAUAAGCCUGGGAAACUGGGUCUAAUACCGGAUAGGACCACUUCUUGGAUGUUGUGGUGGAAAGUUUUCUCGGUGUGGGAUGAGCUCGCGGCCUAUCAGCUUGUUGGUGGGGUAAUGGCCUACCAAGGCGUCGACGGGUAGCCGGCCUGAGAGGGUGUACGGCCACAUUGGGACUGAGAUACGGCCCAGACUCCUACGGGGGGCAGCAGUGGGGAAUAUUGCACAAUGGGCGCAAGCCUGAUGCAGCGACGCCGCGUGGGGGAUGACGGCCUUCGGGUUGUAAACUCCUUUCGCUAGGGACGAAGCGUUUUUGUGACGGUACCUGGAGAAGAAGCACCGGCUAACUACGUG
rnacentral:rRNA from 1 species